GGUUAGAUAAUAAAUUUCUUAGAGAACUUGUAUGAAAAUAGUAAGCAUGCCGAUUGGUUUAUAUAUUGAAGGGAAGUGAAUCUUUUAAUAUUAUUAUUAAUAAUAGUAAUAAACAAUUACAACCGAUGUAAACUCUAAUGAUAUAAUUUUUAUAAUUCUAAAUAUAGUACAAUAAUAUAGUUAAUCAGCAUCUGAGUGAGAAAUUGUACGAUAGUGCUAUUAUUAAAAAAAAAUUAUCUUGUAACCAAUUAUAAUAAAAAAGUUUAGUACAGGUUCAACAAUUAACUACAAAUACUCAUGGGAGGUACAUUAAUGUAACUCAUGGCAGUAAUGAGGAAGUACAGAACAAUAAUAACAAUGAAACAAUAGAAAAAUUAAUGGAGAAAAAUAGGCAAUUAAAUGACGAAAUGCAACCAAUGCCCCGUCAACGACAUUCUGAUGAUAAUAAUGAAGAUCUCCAACGACUACAACGACAACAAGAACAACAAUUACAAGAGCAACGACUAAAACAGCGAUUAGAAGAAGUGUUACGACAACGAUGAAACCAACGACAAGAACAACAAUUAGCAGAUCAAUGACGACAACAGCGAUUAGAAGAAUUACAAAGGCAACAGAAACUAAGACAAGUCCAGGAAUUAGAAGAACAUCGGCGACGACAGCGAUUAGUAGAACAACGUUGGCAGCAACUACAACACGCCGAAGAUGAAGAAGAUCAGCGCAUAAUUGACCCAGUUCACGUUGGAGGACAAAUAUACGUUUCUAGCCGUUCACAUACCGAAGCAUUUAGACAGUAUAAAUCAUCAAAAUUUAUAACGGUAAUGUCACAUGCGAUUUGGGGGUAUCGAAAUUUGGCUCUUCGAGCGGUUAAAAUUACUAAAAGAAAUCAAAGUAAAUUGCCAUUAACACCUGAAAAGAGAGUGGUCCUGGAACACCAAUAUCAUAAAUUUCUAAAAAAAAAGAAAUUUAUCUAACGAGAUGGUCAUCAUGGAACGAAAUAACAUUAAUACGUAUUUAGGACGUUCUAUUACAAGUGCAGAAAAAAAAGCAAUGGGAUCAGGAUAAUGCAUGUAAUAUGGAGAUUUAAGUUAAAAUAAAUACAGAUACUAAAAUACUCGA